rnacentral:rRNA from 1 species
UACGUAGGGUGCAGGCGUUAAUCGGAAUUACUGGGCGUAAAGCGUGCGCAGGCGGUUUGCUAAGACAGGUGUGAAAUCCCCCGGGCUUAACCUGGGAACUGCGCUUGUAACUGGCAAGCUAGAGUGUGGCAGAGGGGGGGUGGAAUUCCACGUGUAGCAGUGAAAUGCGUAGAGAUGUGGAGGAACACCGAUGGCGAAGGCAGCCCCCUGGUUGGAUACUGACGCUGAUACGCGAAAGCGUGGGGAGCGAACAGG